rnacentral:rRNA from 1 species
GAUUAGUGGCGAACGGGUGAGUAACACGUGGGCAAUCUGCCCUUCACUCUGGGACAAGCCCUGGAAACGGGGUCUAAUACCGGAUAACACUCUGUCCCGCAUGGGACGGGGUUAAAAGCUCCGGCGGUGAAGGAUGAGCCCGCGGCCUAUCAGCUUGUUGGUGGGGUGAUGGCCUACCAAGGCGACGACGGGUAGCCGGCCUGAGAGGGCGACCGGCCACACUGGGACUGAGACACGGCCCAGACUCCUACGGGAGGCAGCAGUGGGGAAUAUUGCACAAUGGGCGAAAGCCUGAUGCAGCGACGCCGCGUGAGGGAUGACGGCCUUCGGGUUGUAAACCUCUUUCAGCAGGGAAGAAGCGAAAGUGACGGUACCUGCAGAAGAAGCGCCGGCUAACUACGUGCCAGCAGCCGCGGUAAUACGUAGGGCGCAAGCGUUGUCCGGAAUUAUUGGGCGUAAAGAGCUCGUAGGCGGCUUGUCACGUCGGAUGUGAAAGCCCGGGGCUUAACCCCGGGUCUGCAUUCGAUACGGGCUAGCUAGAGUGUGGUAGGGGAGAUCGGAAUUCCUGGUGUAGCGGUGAAAUGCGCAGAUAUCAGGAGGAACACCGGUGGCGAAGGCGGAUCUCUGGGCCAUUACUGACGCUGAGGAGCGAAAGCGUGGGGAGCGAACAGGAUUAGAUACCCUGGUAGUCCACGCCGUAAACGUUGGGAACUAGGUGUUGGCGACAUUCCACGUCGUCGGUGCCGCAGCUAACGCAUUAAGUUCCCCGCCUGGGGAGUACGGCCGCAAGGCUAAAACUCAAAGGAAUUGACGG